rnacentral:lncRNA from 1 species
UAAAGUGGCCCUUCUCAGGCACACUGCCAGGAAACCUACAGUUCUCCUCGUAAUGGAGCAGUCUUCACAGCACUGUUCGUGUGACCCUCCUAUGACAGUCAUGGCAGGAAAGGAAAGCAGAAAGCUUCUGCAGUACUCAGCUGGGUCAAGGUAGAACUUCAAAGACCAAGCAGAAAGCUUCUGCAGUACUCAGCUGGGUCAAGGUAGAACUUCAAAGACCAAGCAGAAAGCUUCUGCAGUACUCAGCUGGGUCAAGGUAGAACUUCAAAGACCAAGCAGAAAGCUUCUGCAGUACUCAGCUGGGUCAAAGACCAGCUGCACUGGAGAAGAUGGCCCUGUUCACCCUGUGGAACAGCCUGGAGGUCAUGGCUACAAACCUACCUUCUCGUAGCAGAGACAUGACACUAGGUCAGACGGCUAGUUCUGCGAGAAAUAAAAAUGACAGUUGGACAUUUGGUAUCCUAUAGAACGAGUAUCUGUUUACUGAAUUUUUACGCUAUCAUCUGGUGGUUUUGGCAUUACUGGGAUGCAAUUUUAGUUUUUUUGUGUGCAGAGAAUAGCCACUUGUUUGGGUUUCUGAGGUCAUUUCUCACAUUUCUGCUCCAGAAAUGAGUGCAUUCCAUAAAUAUAUUUUUACUGCAAAGUCUAAUUUGCUUGCUUUCUUAAUGUGAGCCCAUCUCCUUUCUAAAAUCCUGGUUUUCUCAAAAAUGCUAGUUAGUUGCUGUCUUCUUACUAAUGUUGACAACAUCUUAUCAUCAAAUACUUACUUUGUAUUCUGUCCAGCCCUGUCCCUGGCAUAUAAUAAAUAUUUUAGAGGCUCUUUCUACUGCAGUUUCUUCCAAAAUUCCAUUUAUUUGAGGUUGAUGAGCUUCCUUUUUCUUUUUGUUUUUUGGUUUGUUUGUUUUUUGUAGAGACAUGGUCUCGCUUUGUCACCCAGGCUGGAGUGCAGUGGUGUGAUCAUAGCUCACUGUAGCCUCAAACUCCUGGGCACAAGCGACCCUCCAGCCUCAGCCUCCCAAGUAGCUGGGACUACAGGUCCACUGCCACACCCAGAUAAUCUUUAAAAUUUUUUUAGAGAUGGAGUCUUGUUAUGUUGCCCAGGCUAGUCUUGAA